rnacentral:rRNA from 1 species
UACGAAGGGGGCUAGCGUUGUUCGGAAUUACUGGGCGUAAAGGGCGCGUAGGCGGUCCUGAUCGUCGGAUGUGAAAGGCCUGGGCUCAACCUGGGAAUGGCAUCCGAUACGGCGGGACUGGAGUGUGGGAGAGGUUGGUGGAAUUUCCAGUGUAGAGGUGAAAUUCGUAGAUAUUGGGAAGAACACCGGUGGCGAAGGCGGCCAACUGGACCACAACUGACGCUGAGGCGCGAAAGCGUGGGGAGCAAACAGG